ensembl:misc_RNA
UUGUUUCUUUGUUGUCAGCUGCUUUUAUUAAAUUUCAGACCAUUGUCCAGUAAACACUAUAAAAAUGUUUGAACAGUUGGAUUUCAAACAUUUUCAUUUUGUAGAGUGGUGCUUACCAAGUGGUACAGCUCUAAGCAAGUGACUA